CUCGCCUCCGCCGUCUUUCGCCACGCCUCAGCCCUCAAGUAUUCCCUAACCGUUUUAUUCUCCUUCACGUGUAUGUGCUAUUGGCGUGCUGAUGUGUCCUGUGUGUAUGUGCGACUGUGCGUUGGUGUGGUGCUACCUGCAGACUGUUGUAGAUGAAUCAAUCUAUUAGGAUUUGGGCUGCUGCUUGCUAGCCCGGCUCGUGUAUGUGCUACUAGGUUGCUGGUACUAAGGUUGUAGUAACUACUGACGUGCUAGGCUAAUGAACUUUGAUCCAUUAGUUGAUUUGCUAGGUUGCUAGGUUGCUGGGUUGCUAUAAUAUCUGUUGCUAGGUUGCUAGGUUGCUGCUGCUACUGAUUAAUUAAUGAAGUUAGCUUAGUUGAUUUGCUAAACCUAAGAUUUGCUUGCAAUUUGUAGGUAUUGUCAAGAAAUGGACAUUGAUCCAGCUGGAACUUGGAGAGAUGAUACCGGUGGACUCUACCUGCAAGGUACCUAUAUUCUUCACAUGACUUGAUACGGUUAUGAAAAAUGACCCUCUCGAAGCGCAACUAUGUGCUCAGUUGAUCGCCGUCAUGCUCGAUAGUGCGUUCUCUGUUAAAGCUGAUCUAUGAAGAUCAAUUAGUAGCGAAGCUGAAUCUUGUUUGGAUGCACUGGAUUACUGCAGUUCAGUUUUGUCAUGCAUCAACUAGCCAAAACAGCGUUUCAGGUGUCACAUGUUUGAUGAAACGCCCAAUAGCAGUGGUAUAUAUUCAUGAAGUUGCAUAUGAUGGCAUCAAACAUGCAUGGGACUAACUUCUUUCACCAGGUUAGGACAAACUAAUACCUAGGCACACUUAAGUCCUGAAUUGAGUUAGUUUAGGCAGAGUGUAUGUGCUCUUGAGUCUCGACAGAAUUAUACAGAUACUUAGAUCAACAAGGACAUUCACGAGCUGCCUGUCUCACCACGAUGACAUGAUGUGGUCUCCAUGUCACUGAACAAAGGAAGCCCCGUGGAUUAGGAUUCUUGUCCUAUUUCAUUCCAAUAAAAAAUUAAAAAGAUGAGCCAAGACAUGGUUGGGCCACUGGUUUGGUUUUCCUCUGCGCGGAGAGGCAAAUAUUUAUUGGAGGUGAAGUUGAAGCAUCUGGAAUGGGAUCUACACAUGGAUAGAUAGAUAAUCUAUCAAAUAUAUCACUUGAAACUACUAUUUAGUUUGUUCUAAUACGUCUCAUAAUUUUGAUGGAAUAGCAAUGCAAUGGUUCAACCGAACCAAUGAAUUAUUUCCAGCAGCUAAUGCACAAUGGUUUUGUGCAAUGUUACAUAAAAACUUCUGGUUGAGAUUAGUGGUUUUGUUACCGGAAACUAAAAUUUCGAGAUCGGUAAGAAUUACUUAAUUUUAAUGUA